UACAGAGGGGGCAAGCGUUGUUCGGAAUUACUGGGCGUAAAGGGCGCGUAGGCGGCCGACUAAGUCAGACGUGAAAUCCCCUGGCUCAACCAGGGAACUGCGUCUGAUACUGGGCGGCUCGAGUGCGGGAGAGGGGAGUGGAAUUCCAGGUGUAGCGGUGAAAUGCGUAGAUAUCUGGAGGAACACCGGUGGCGAAGGCGGCUUCCUGGACCGACACUGACGCUGAGGCGCGAAAGCCAGGGGAGCAAACGGG
rnacentral:rRNA from 1 species